GAACUGCCUGGGGGGAAAAGAGUCUGGUGGUGUUGGCUGACAGCUGAUCAUGAGCCAGCAGUGUGCCCAGGUGGCCGAGAAGGCCAACAGCAUCCUGGCUUGUGUCAGCAGUAGUGCAACCAGCAGGAGCAGGAGGGUAUUGUCCCCUUGUACUGACACAGGUGAGGCUGCACCUCGAGUGCUCCAGUCAGUGUUGGUCUCUCACUACAGGGCAGACAUUGAGGCCCUGGGGUUUGUCUGGAGAAGGGCAACAGAGCUGUGAGGGAUCUGAAGCACACACAGGUCUUAUGGGGAGUGGCUUAGAGAAUUGGGAUGGUUCAGUCUGGAGAAGGCUGAGGGGAGGAGACAUUAUGACUGUACAAGUCCCUGAAAAGAGGUUGGAGUGAGAUUGGGGUCGACCUCUUCUCCCAGGUAACAGCGAUAGGAUGAGAGGUGAUGUCCUCAAGUUGUAUCAGGGAAGGUUCAGGUUGAAUAGCAGGAAACAUUUCUUCUCCAAAAGAGUGGUAAUGCACUGGCACAGGCUGCCAAGGGUGUGAUGGAGUCACUGUCCCUGGAGGUGUCCAAAAAUAGUGGAGAAGUGGCACUGAGGGAUGCUGGCAUGGUGGGGAUGGGUUAGGAUUGGACUUGGUGAUCUUUUCCAACCUUAACAAUUCUGUGAUUCCAACCUGAUGCUAAAGGGUGCUGUUGAGAAAGGUCUGGAUGGGUGAGUUUAAUGAUUGCCUUUGGCCCUGUCUGCUCUCCAGGAUUUUGUGUGUUUGCUGUCCAUGAAACACUUUUGGAUUUUACAUUAUAACAGCUCACUGCACAUAGCAGGAAAUAAAGGUUCAAGUUAAACUUUUAAAUUAAUGGCCCGUCUCUUAGAAUGCUGAGUGCUCAUUAUUUAUCAGUCUUUCCUUCUUUGGAACACCUGCCCUUCUGACUGGUCAUUGAGGAGGAGGAAAAAUAAAAAAUAAUGGUGUGAUUUGUUAUGUGGUUGAUAGUGAGUGUUUAAAUACUGCUGAUCCCUGCUGCUUUUGAGGUGUUAUUGCCCAUUAACCCCCAUUUGAAACCAGUGGCAAAGGCAGGGCGUGCUGUGUUGUACCUGGGGCAGCAGCUGAUUUCUCACCCGUAAUAUUUAACUAGUGGGGAGUGGUUGAUGUGCUUUAAUCUUACAGCAAAAAGUUCAGUCCCAGGGAAUGCCAUCUCCUGGUUUGAGACCUGUUGGAUGCUUGGAACACUGCUUGUUAAGCUGGAGGUGGGAAGCAUACCCCCUGAGCAAAGCAGAUGGAGAAUUGGAGUAUUUCCACUUUCUCUAAAAUAAGGGUUGUAAUUAGGGGAACAAUUUGACGACAAGCCGGUUCGAACAGACUGGCUUAAUCUAAAUGAAACCAAAACGCUUUGAGCAAGUUUUGUCUCCCUUCUCCUAAAUCAGACUUGAAUAAGUAAAUGAAGUAAUGAGACACAGGAAGCUCAAAAUAGUGCUGCAGAGCUCUUGGCAAGCAACAAAGCUUCUAUUUCUGCAGUGCCAAACCUCCACAGUCUUGAAGACCUUCAGGGAUGGUGACUCCACCACUCCCUGGGCAGCCCAUUCCAGUGCCUCACCACUCUUGGAGCAGAAUUCCAUCCUAAUAUCCAACCUGAACCUCCCCUGGUGUAAGUAGUGGAAGAACAAAAUGGUUGCAGGAAACGUGUUCCUCUAAUGGCCUGUAUCUUUGUAUUAUGUGUCAAGGAGAGAUUUAUUACUAUGAUUGCUUCACUCCUUAUCCCUUUUUCUAUAAAUGAACUCUGGCAGAUUAAUUUGAAGUGCAUCAGACAAGAGGAAAUUACUGACCUUAUGAUGCAUUGGUGCCAUUCACCUUUAAUUGUUGGAACUGCUGGGGUUGAGCACUCGAUGUCAGUGAGUUCCACCUUCUACUCCAGAGAACUCCAUAGAAGUGCUUCUCUUUCCCCAAUCAGGAAGGAAUAAUUGAAGUCUCAUGGCUUAUUUUUUGGUAAUUUGAAAGCAGGAGGGAGCUUUUUCUUAGAGAGCGUAAGGGUGCUUGUAGUAUUACUCUCUCACAUUAUGUUCUGGGACAUCUUGGUGGUGAAUAGAGGUAAUGAAAUGGCAAUCAUAGAAUCAUACCAUAGAAUCAUAGAAUGGCCUGGGUUGAAAAGGACCAUAAUGAUCAUCUAGUUUCAACCCCCUGCUAUGUGCAGGGUCACCAACCACUAGAAGCUGCAGCAAGGCAAAAGCAUUCCUGUUUUUCUUGACAAUAGGAGGAACAGAGUCUACAGAGCAAUGCUUUGUGCGAAAUAUCUCAUCAGUGUGAAUGUACUGUUCCUAUAGAUGUUACCAAAAUGAGGAAAGAAUUUGUGAUAACUAAAUCUUAAAUAAUGAUGUAAGAUUUUUUUUUAUCUUUCCCUGAAACGUUUAGUUGAGAAGUGGCCUUUAUACCAUGCUCAGUUUGGUAGUGAAGUGAGAGGUUAUUUCCAAACUUUGCAUAGGCAGUGUUGAGCCAUUGCCUUUGUUUUUGCUGCUACAAAUCUGCUGGGAGCAGAUGGAAUUUCAUUUUUUCCCACUCCUGUCCAAGAAUAACUCCUUUUUAAGGCAUCUCAGAGGCAGUGGGAAAGGUGCAUAUGGCAGGUUUGGGGAUGGAAAUGAUGAGUUUUGCAGCUACACCUGCCCUGGGGGUGUUCCAUCUUGCUGGAUGGCUGCAAGUUCUGCAGACCUGCCACCAAAAUGCCCGGAGGAUGCCCCCAGUUGCCUUAUUUUCUAGAUUGACUCCACUGUUCAUUAUGUAGCUCAUCUAUUGGGUCAGUUGUACUUUUCUUCAAAACCAUUUUCUUUUUAAGGAAAGAUUUCAUUUCAAGGCCAGGCUGGAUGUGGCUCUGGGCAGCCUGGUCUGGUGGUUGGCGACCCUGCACAUAGCAGAGGGGUUGAAGCCAGAUGAGCACUGUGGUCUUUUUCAACCCAGACCAUUCUAUGAUUCUCUGAUCUGUAGAUUGAGGCGUUGGCUUACGACAAGAAAAGAAGGAAAAUAAGCUUGUGUGCACACCCGCCCGCAGUGCUGAGCAGUCGGUGGGCUGGUGGUUGUGACCCUCCCUGCACUGCCGAGCUGUUCGUAGACAAACUGCUCACGGUGCUAAGGAAUGCUAACAGAUCCUGGGCUGCAAAGAUAUUUUGGCAUGUCUGUUGCUAAGGCUGCAUUGACACAAGCCAUAAAUUCUGCAUUAUGUGCAAAUUGCUGCCUCGUUUCUAAAUUUUCAGCAUUAACUCAAAAUGGAAAGCUGUUUCGUAGAAUCAUAGAAUGAAUCAUAGAAUGGCCUGGGUUGAUGUGGUCAGUGAGCACGGUGGGGUUGGGUUUGGGGAUCUUAGAGCUCUUUUCCAACCUCAGUAUUCUUUGAUUUAACCCCUGUAGCAAUGUGAGGGAUGCCAGUGUUGAGUCAUUGAUGCUUGCUGGGCACGGAGAAGAUGAGGAACACGUUCAGAUGUUUGUAAAUCAAUCUGUGUCUUCGCAUGGAGUGGAGAUCGGCUGAGUUAUUGGGCACUGUUCACAUUUCAUUUAUUUUCUUAAGCUCUUUAAUAAAAAGCGAUGGUUUGAGC